GUUUCUGUAGUGUGGUGGUUAUCACGUUUGCCUCACAGGCGCAUGGUCUCUGGCCCAAAACUGGGCAGAAACA